GACGAACGCUGGCGGCGUGCUUAACACAUGCAAGUCGAGCGGUAAGGCCCUUUCGGGGGUACACGAGCGGCGAACGGGUGAGUAACACGUGGGUGACCUGCCCUCAGCUCUGGGAUAAGCCUGGGAAACCGGGUCUAAUACUGGAUAUGACUCCAUGACGCAUGUUGUGGGGUGGAAAGCCUUGUGCGGCUGAGGAUGGGCCCGCGGCCUAUCAGCUUGUUGGUGGGGUGANGGCCUACCAAGGCGACGACGGGUAGCCGGCCUGAGAGGGCGACCGGCCACACUGGGACUGAGACACGGCCCAGACUCCUACGGGAGGCAGCAGUGGGGAAUCUUGCGCAAUGGGCGAAAGACCUCGACGCAGCGACGCCGCGUGAGGGAGU
rnacentral:rRNA from 1 species